rnacentral:misc_RNA from 1 species
UCCGGCUUAUCACCGGCAGUUUCCUCAGAGUUCCCAGCAUUACCUGUUGGCAACAGAGGACGAGGGUUGCGCUCGUUGCGGGACUUAACCCAACAUCUCACGACACGAGCUGACGACAGCCAUGCAGCACCUGUGCUCCUCCCACCCGAGGUGAAAAGAUUGAUCUCUCGAUCUUACAGAGGGCAUGUCAAGGUCUGGUAAGGUUCUUCGCGUUGCCUCGAAUUGAACCACAUGUUCCACCGCUUGUGCGGGUCCCCGUCAAUUCCUUUAAGUUUCAACCUUGCGGCCGUACUCCCCAGGCGGAGUGCUUAACGCGUUAGCUGCGCCACUGAGGGUUAAACCCCCAACGGCUAGCACUCAUCGUUUAGGGCGUGGACUAC